rnacentral:rRNA from 1 species
AACGAACGCUGGCGGCGUGCCUAACACAUGCAAGUCGAACGAGAAAGGGGCUUCGGCCCUGAGUAAAGUGGCGCACGGGUGAGUAACACGUAGGUAACCUGCCUCUAAGAUUGGGAUAACCCGUCGAAAGAUGGGCUAAUACCGAAUAAGACUACGGGUUCUUCGGGAUCUGAGGUCAAAGGUAGCCUCUAUUUAUAAGCUAUCGCUUAGAGAUGGGCCUGCGCACCAUUAGCUAGUUGGUAGGGUAACGGCCUACCAAGGCAAAGAUGGUUCGCUGGUCUGAAAGGAUGAUCAGCCACACUGGAACUGAGACACGGGCCAGACUCCUACGGGAGGCAGCAGUGGGGAAUAUUGCGCAAUGGGCGAAAGCCUGACGCAGCAACGCCGCGUGAGUGAUGAAGGCCUUCGGGUCGUAAAGCUCUGUCGGAGGGAACGAAUGCUUUUGGGGUUAACAGCCCCGGAAAGUGACGGUACCCUCAAAGGAAGCACCGGCUAACUCUGUGCCAGCAGCAGCCGCCGUAA